UACGGGGGGGGCGAGCGUUGUUCGGAAUAACUGGGCGUAAAGGGCGCGUAGGCGGCCUGGGCAGUCCUGGGUGAAAGCCCCCGGCUCAACCGGGGAAGGGCCUGGGAAACCACUGGGCUGGAGUGCUGGAGAGGGAGGCGGAAUUCCUGGUGUAGCGGUGAAAUGCGUAGAGAUCAGGAGGAACAUCGGCGGCGAAGGCGGCCUUCUGGACAGACACUGACGCUGAGGCGCGAAAGCCGGGGGAGCAAACAGGAUUAGAUACCCUGGUAGUCCCGGCUGUAAACGAUGGUGACUUGGUGUGGGGGGUGACAAAGUCCCUCCGUGCCGGCGACAACUCGUUAAGUCACCCGCCUGGGGAGUACGGCCGCAAGGCUGAA
rnacentral:rRNA from 1 species